rnacentral:rRNA from 1 species
GACGAACGCUGGCGGCGUGCUUAACACAUGCAAGUCGAACGAAGAGCGAUGGAAGCUUGCUUCUAUCAAUCUUAGUGGCGAACGGGUGAGUAACGCGUAAUCAACCUGCCCUUCAGAGGGGGACAACAGUUGGAAACGACUGCUAAUACCGCAUACGAUCUAAUCUCGGCAUCGAGGAUAGAUGAAAGGUGGCCUCUACAUGUAAGCUAUCACUGAAGGAGGGGAUUGCGUCUGAUUAGCUAGUUGGAGGGGUAACGGCCCACCAAGGCGAUGAUCAGUAGCCGGUCUGAGAGGAUGAACGGCCACAUUGGGACUGAGACACGGCCCAGACUCCUACGGGAGGCAGCAGUGGGGAAUCUUCCGCAAUGGACGAAAGUCUGACGGAGCAACGCCGCGUGAGUGAUGACGGCCUUCGUGUUGUAAAGCUCUGUUAAUCGGGACGAAAGGCCUUCUUGCGAAUAGUGAGAAGGAUUGACGGUACCGGAAUAGAAAGCCACGGCUAACUACGUG